AGAGUUUGCGAACGAGGUUCCACAGAAAGUUACUCCUGCAGUGAAUGAAUCCGUCUACGUCCUGUGUAAUGCCACCGGAAACCCCCAACCCACUGUCAAAUGGCUUUUCAAGUCUGAAGAGGUGACAUCCAUGACGGACAUGUAUGGAGCUGUCCUGGCCCUGGACAUGAUACAGAGGGAAGAUGCAGGGAACUACACAUGUCUGGCAUCAAGUUCUGCCGGAAACAUCACCAGAAACAUGCAGCUCAUCGUCCAAUAUCCGCCCAGUGCUGAAGUGUCUCCAACUGAUGUAGUGACUGAGGCAGGCCAGUCUGAGCUGACACUGACCUGCCAUACCACUGGAAACCCCUC